AUUGAACGCUGGCGGCAUGCCUUACACAUGCAAGUCGAACGGUAACAGGUCUUCGGAUGCUGACGAGUGGCGAACGGGUGAGUAAUACAUCGGAACGUGCCUAGUAGUGGGGGAUAACUACUCGAAAGAGUGGCUAAUACCGCAUGAGAUCUACGGAUGAAAGCAGGGGAUCGCAAGACCUUGUGCUACUAGAGCGGCCGAUGGCAGAUUAGGUAGUUGGUGGGAUAAAAGCUUACCAAGCCUACGAUCUGUAGCUGGUAUGAGGGGACGAUCGGCCACAAUGGGACUGAGACACGGCCCAGACUCCUACGGGAGGCAGCAGUGGGGAAUUUUGGACAAUGGGCGAAAGCCUGAUCCAGCAAUGCCGCGUGCAGGAUGAAGGCCUUCGGGUUGUAAACUGCUUUUGUACGGAACGAAAAGCCCCGGGUUAAUACCCUGGGGUCAUGACGGUACCGUAAGAAUAAGCACCGGCUAACUACGUGCCAGCCGCCGCAGUAA
rnacentral:rRNA from 1 species